rnacentral:lncRNA from 1 species
CUGGUUUGGCCAGCUCAACUGCACAGAGAUGGGUUCCUGUAAGAAAUAAUAGUAGCAAUUCCCACACAGGAAGUCUUUCAGGCCAGCUCAUAUCCUCUGGCCGAAGGUCUCUGAGAGAAGCCACCAGGUGUAAGGCAGAGAGAAGGGCAGAGCUAUAUUGUCAGAUCUUGGUAUAAUUCACCUUCCCUUGCUGCCCAGCCUUGAGGAGGAAGGCACCCAAGGACCAAAUCCACUCAGCAAUUACUUCUAUGAAAACUGUGUUAUCACAUCAUUUAACAGGAGACCUUCGUGCCAAGAAUGGACAUUCACUUGUUGUGAUUUGUGGAAGGGACUCAUACUUCAAGGAGACAGUUACCUGGAAUGACCACCAAAGCCCUCUCACAUUAUGGGAUGCUGGGGGUCUAAAUAAAGUGCCAAAUGAUGACUAUGCCCCUAAUCUAAGACCAUCCCUAAUUUUUCCAGUGUAAGAGGGUUUUGAGCCAUUGGAAGAGAUAAACUUUUAGGAAGGUAGAUGGAAUAAUUAAAUGUCUAUUUAUAUUUUUAUUAUACCUGACACAUAAGUCAUCACACUUACGUGUAUUGUAAAAUUAUCAUAUGUAAACUUAGAAAAGUUACGUUUUCUAUUCUUAUAUUUAAUGAAAUCACAUUCAAGUCUUUCACAUGCACUUUGACAUUUUUUUUAUUACAAUCCUUUUUGAACCAUAUAAUGUUGGAUUUAUUCGAGUGUUUAACUUUUAGAGCUGUGCACUUAUGACUAUGAAAAGCAACUCGAAGAUAGAACUUCAGGCAGAAAAAUACCUUUUUUAUUGUGAGUUUAAAACUUUCUAGCCCCUAACCUCUCUGGUUUCAUUAUAAGUGAUUUUUAAGAAAAUGCGUU